rnacentral:rRNA from 1 species
GGGUUGUGAGGUUAAGCGACUAAGCGUACACGGUGGAUGCCCUGGCAGUCAGAGGCGAUGAAGGGCGUGCUAAUCUGCGAUAAGCGCCGGUAAGGUGAUAUGAACCGUUAUAACCGGCGAUACCCGAAUGGGGAAACCCAGUGUGAUUCGUCACACUAUCAUUACGUGAAUACAUAGCGUAAUGAAGCGAACCGGGGGAACUGAAACAUCUAAGUACCCCGAGGAAAAGAAAUCAACCGAGAUUCCCCCAGUAGCGGCGAGCGAACGGGGAGGAGCCCAGAGCCUGAAUCAGCAUGUGUGUUAGUGGAAGCGUCUGGAAAGGCGCGCGAUACAGGGUGACAGCCCCGUACACAAAAGCGCAUGUGUUGUGAGCUCGAUGAGUAGGGCGGGACACGUGGUAUCCUGUCUGAAUAUGGGGGGACCAUCCUCCAAGGCUAAAUACUCCUGACUGACCGAUAGUGAACCAGUACCGUGAGGGAAAGGCGAAAAGAACCCCGGCGAGGGGAGUGAAAAAGAACCUGAAACCGUGUACGUACAAGCAGUGGGAGCACCCUUUGGGGUGUGACUGCGUACCUUUUGUAUAAUGGGUCAGCGACUUAUAUUCUGUAGCAAGGUUAACCGAAUAGGGGAGCCGGAGGGAAACCGAGUCUUAAUUGGGCGUUAAGUUGCAGGGUAUAGACCCGAAACCCGGUGAUCUAGCCAUGGGCAGGUUGAAGGUUGGGUAACACUAACUGGAGGACCGAACCGACUAAUGUUGAAAAAUUAGCGGAUGACCUGUGGCUGGGGGUGAAAGGCCAAUCAAACCGGGAGAUAGCUGGUUCUCCCCGAAAGCUAUUUAGGUAGCGCCUCGUGAAUUCAUCUCCGGGGGUAGAGCACUGUUUCGGCUAGGGGGCCAUCCCGGCUUACCAACCCGAUGCAAACUGCGAAUACCGGAGAAUGUUAUCACGGGAGACACACGGCGGGUGCUAACGUCCGUCGUGAAGAGGGAAACAACCCAGACCGCCAGCUAAGGUCCCAAAGUCAUAGUUAAGUGGGAAACGAUGUGGGAAGGCCCAGACAGCCAGGAUGUUGGCUUAGAAGCAGCCAUCAUUUAAAGAAAGCGUAAUAGCUCACUGGUCGAGUCGGCCUGCGCGGAAGAUGUAACGGGGCUAAACCAUGCACCGAAGCUGCGGCAGCGACACUGUGUGUUGUUGGGUAGGGGAGCGUUCUGUAAGCCUGUGAAGGUGUGUCGUGAGGCAUGCUGGAGGUAUCAGAAGUGCGAAUGCUGACAUAAGUAACGAUAAAGCGGGUGAAAAGCCCGCUCGCCGGAAGACCAAGGGUUCCUGUCCAACGUUAAUCGGGGCAGGGUGAGUCGACCCCUAAGGCGAGGCCGAAAGGCGUAGUCGAUGGGAAACGGGUUAAUAUUCCCGUACUUGGUGUUACUGCGAAGGGGGGACGGAGAAGGCUAUGUUGGCCGGGCGACGGUUGUCCCGGUUUAAGCGUGUAGGUGUGUGUUCCAGGUAAAUCCGGUU